GACAAACGCUAGCGGCAGGCUUAACACAUGCAAGUCGAGGGGCAGCAUAGAUUGUAGCAAUACAAUUGGUGGCGACCGGCGCACGGGUGCGUAACGCGUAUGCAACCUACCCGUCACAGGGGGAUAAUCCGGAGAAAUCUGGUCUAAUACCCCAUAACAUAUGGAUCGGCAUCGGGUCAUGUUGAAAUUUUCGGAGGUGACGGAUGGGCAUGCGUAGCAUUAGCUUGUUGGUGAGGUAACGGCUCACCAAGGCGACGAUGCUUAGGGGGACUGAGAGGUUUUCCCCCCACACUGGUACUGAGACACGGACCAGACUCCUACGGGAGGCAGCAGUGAGGAAUAUUGGUCAAUGGGCGCAAGCCUGAACCAGCCAUGCCGCGUGCAGGAUGACGGCUCUAUGAGUUGUAAACUGCUUUUGUACGAGGGUAAAGUGGGUUACGUGUAACCUUUUGAAAGUAUCGUACGAAUAAGGAUCGGCUAACUCCGUGCCAGCCGCCGCAGUAA
rnacentral:rRNA from 1 species